rnacentral:rRNA from 1 species
GAUGAACGCUGGCGGCGUGCCUAAUACAUGCGAGUCGAGCGAACAGAUGAGGAGCUUGCUCCUCUGACGUUAGCGGCGGACGGGUGAGUAACACGUGGAUAACCUACCUAUAAGACUGGGAUAACUUCGGGGAACCGGAGCUAAUACCGGAUAAUAUAUUGAACCGCAUGGUUCAAUAGUGAAAGACGGUUUUGCUGUCACUUAUAGAUGGAUCCGCGCCGCAUUAGCUAGUUGGUAAGGUAACGGCUUACCAAGGCAACGAUGCGUAGCCGACCUGAGAGGGUGAUCGGCCACACUGGAACUGAGACACGGUCCAGACUCCUACGGGAGGCAGCAGUAGGGAAUCUUCCGCAAUGGGCGAAAGCCUGACGGAGCAACGCCGCGUGAGUGAUGAAGGUCUUCGGAUCGUAAAACUCUGUUAUUAGGGAAGAACAAAUGUGUAAGUAACUAUGCACGUCUUGACGGUACCUAAUCAGAAAGCCACGGCUAACUACGUG